UGACCGUUUAUAUAGCCUGCCCUAUCACAAAGGGUGCGUUAGAUUUGCAUUCCAGCCGUUAGAAUAUGUCACAUGACAGUGUAGCGGUGCAAGAGGCCUUGUCUACCUCAUUUCACUCCGUUUGUUGGAUGGCCUCACAAAUAAUGUGACCCCCGCUAGGUCAAUGAGCAGUUCAUGUUUCAACAUGCAGCAUGAAACCACGCUCUGGCACCGAGAGCGAACACUCGAGCACCCGUCAACAGUCCUCAACAGCGAUUUUCAUUACCGCUGCUCGCCACUUCAGCAUGAGGGUAUGGAGUGUGACUGCGGCACCAGUGGUUAACUGGGAACAUACCACAUAAAAGCAUCCACUGAUGGUGGAGUGGUGUAAUCAUAAAAACGGGUAUGAUGGCUCUUAGCUUUAUAUAGUCCAGGAGCAGCAGCAGGGUGGCAGAGUGAGCAGUUUGUCCUUGAACAAGAUACCAACUCUCUAUCAACACAGAGGUGAUUUUAAAGGAUGAAGGGAAAUGAUAUCCACCAUACAAAAGCAAAGUAUCUCCCACUUGGUGUUGGAGUUUGUCUGAACACAGGUACUUGCAAGUUAAGUACAGUACUGAGUCUCUACACAUUGAAUUUAGAAAAUACCACUUCAGCAAUUUUUAAACAUUAAAACUGAGGGACUUCAGGACAAAACAAAAACACAUAAGGAAAUUGCACAUAAAGAGUAAUUUAUUCUGAGUUUUGCUUUCAUACUCAUCCAAGGGUAGUUACAAAUAUUCUCCUGUCUUCAGCAUGUACUCUUCUCGGCUGCACACUAUAAAAUUAGACAUUUCAAGUGUCACAGAUUUAAACACACAAAUAUUACAGUCCAGAGUGAAAUGUGAAACAGUAUCUUUGUAGUUUAGAGUAGAUCAGGGUUAUUUAAAAUGUAAUCAAAAAUCUGCAACAUACUGUAAUAAAACACAUUACAUCAUAA